UACGUAGGGGGCAAGCGUUGUCCGGAUUUAUUGGGCGUAAAGAGCGUGUAGGCGGCUUUACAGGUCCGUUGUGAAAACUCGAGGCUCAACCUCGAGACGCCGGUGGAAACCGUAAGGCUAGAGUCCGGAAGAGGAGAGUGGAAUUCCUGGUGUAGCGGUGAAAUGCGCAGAUAUCAGGAAGAACACCCGUGGCGAAGGCGGCUCUCUGGGACGGUACUGACGCUGAGACACGAAAGCGUGGGUAGCAAACAGG
rnacentral:rRNA from 1 species